UACGAAGGGGGCGAGCGUUGUUCGGAAUUACUGGGCGUAAAGGGCGCGUAGGCGGCCGAUCAAGUUAGAUGUGAAAGUCCUGGGCUCAACCUGGGGACUGCAUUUGAUACUGAUUGGCUUGAAUCCGGGAGAGGAUAGCGGAAUUCCCAGUGUAGAGGUGAAAUUCGUAGAUAUUGGGAAGAACACCAGUGGCGAAGGCGGCUAUCUGGACCGGCAUUGACGCUGAGGCGCGAAAGCUAGGGGAGCAAACGGG
rnacentral:rRNA from 1 species